rnacentral:rRNA from 1 species
GAGCAGAGGGUGCAAACGUUGUUCGGAAUUACUGGGCGUAAAGAGCGCGUAGGCGGCCCAGUAAGUCCGCUCUGAAAGUCAGAGGCUCAACCUCUGAAUGCGGGUGGAUACUGCUGGGCUAGAGUCCGGAAGAGGCGAGUGGAAUUCCUGGUGUAGCGGUGAAAUGCGCAGAUAUCAGGAGGAACACCGGUGGCGAAGGCGGGUCUCUGGGCAGUAACUGACGCUGGAGGAGCGAAAGCGUGGGGAGCGAACAGG